UUCGCCCUUAGAGUUUGAUCCUGGCUCAGGAUGAACGCUGGCGGCGUGCUUAACACAUGCAAGUCGAGCGAAGCAGCUGUUUGGAAUCCUCCGGGAGGAAAAACAUCUGACUGAGCGGCGGACGGGUGAGUAACGCGUGGGGAACCUGCCUUAUACCGGGGGAUAACAGCUGGAAACGGCUGCUAAUACCGCAUAAGCGCACGGCACCGCAUGGUGCAGUGUGAAAAACUCCGGUGGUAUAAGAUGGACCCGCGUUAGAUUAGCUUGUUGGCGGGGUAACGGCCCACCAAGGCGACGAUCUAUAGCCGGCCUGAGAGGGCGACCGGCCACAUUGGGACUGAGACACGGCCCAAACUCCUACGGGAGGCAGCAGUGGGGAAUAUUGCACAAUGGGGGAAACCCUGAUGCAGCGACGCCGCGUGGAGGAAGAAGGUCUUCGGAUUGUAAACUCCUGUCCCAGGGGACGAUAAUGACGGUACCCUGGGAGGAAGCACCGGCUAACUACGUGCCAGCAGCCGCGGUAAAACGUAGGGUGCAAGCGUUGUCCGGAAUUACUGGGUGUAAAGGGAGCGCAGGCGGAUUGGCAAGUUGGGAGUGAAAUCUAUGGGCUCAACCCAUAAAUUGCUUUCAAAACUGUCAGUCUUGAGUGGUGUAGAGGUAGGCGGAAUUCCCGGUGUAGCGGUGGAAUGCGUAGAUAUCGGGAGGAACACCAGUGGCGAAGGCGGCCUACUGGGCACUAACUGACGCUGAGGCUCGAAAGCAUGGGUAGCAAACAGGAUUAGAUACCCUGGUAGUCCAUGCCGUAAACGAUGAUUACUAGGUGUGGGAGGAUUGACCCCUUCCGUGCCGCAGUUAACACAAUAAGUAAUCCACCUGGGGAGUACGACCGCAAGGUUGAAACUCAAAGGAAUUGACGGGGGCCCGCACAAGCAGUGGAGUAUGUGGUUUAAUUCGAAGCAACGCGAAGAACCUUACCAGGGCUUGACAUCCAACUAACGAAGCAGAGAUGCAUUAGGUGCCCUUCGGGGAAAGUUGAGACAGGUGGUGCAUGGUUGUCGUCAGCUCGUGUCGUGAGAUGUUGGGUUAAGUCCCGCAACGAGCGCAGCCCCUAUUGUUAGUUGCUACGCAAGAGCACUCUAGCGAGACUGCCGUUGACAAAACGGAGGAAGGUGGGGACGACGUCAAAUUAUCAUGCCCCUUAUGUCCCGGGCUACACACGUAAUACAAUGGCGUCCAACAAAGGGAAGCAAAACCGCGAGGUAGAGCAAAUCCCCAAAAGACGUCUCAGUUCGGAUUGCAGGCUGCAACUCGCCUGUAUGAAGUCGGAAUUGCUAGUAAUCGUGGAUCAGCAUGCCACGGUGAAUACGUUCCCGGGCCUUGUACACAAAGCCCGUCA
rnacentral:rRNA from 1 species